CCCACCCGAUCCCAUCCCGAACUCGGAAGUGAAACGCAGCCGCGCCGAUGGUAGUGUGCAUUUGCAUGCAAGAGUAGGUCACCGCCAGGG
rnacentral:rRNA from 1 species